rnacentral:rRNA from 1 species
AGAGAGAGACAUGCGCGCAUAUCAAUAAGCGGAGGAAAAGAAACUAACAAGGAUUCCCCUAGUAACGGCGAGUGAAGCGGGAAGAGCUCAAAUUUGAAAUCUUAAAGGGUUUCCCUUUACGAAUUGUAGUUUAAAGAAGUGUUUUCUGUUGAGGUUUUGGUAAAAGGUUCUUUGGAAUAGGACAUCAUAGAGGGUGAGAAUCCCGUAUUUGACCUUUACUUUCAACUUUGUGAUACACUUUCAAAGAGUCGGAUUGUUUGGGAAUGCAGUCCAAAAUGGGUGGUAAAUUUCAUCUAAAGCUAAAUAUUGGCGAGAGACCGAUAGCGAACAAGUACCGUGAGGGAAAGAUGAAAAGAACUUUGAAAAGAGAGUUAAACAGUACGUGAAAUUGUCAAAAGGGAAGCGUUUGACACCAGUGUUGUUUUUCUGAAAAUCAAUUAAAGAACUGUUUAUGCUAAGCUUGUUUAGACUUUAUCAGCUAUCUGUUUAGUUUUGAGCUUUUCUUUAAUGCACUUUUCAGUUAACAAGUCAACAUCAAUUUCUUUUGCUGUAAAAAAGCUUGAGGAAGGUGGCUUGAGAUUCGUCUUAAGUGUUUAUAGCCUCUUGCCUAUGCAGUCGGAGAGAUUGAGGUCUGCAGCGUAGAUCCUUCGGGGCUAAAUGCAUUUGUGCUAAGUUAUAGCAUUUUAUAGACAACUUGUUGACUAUGAUUUGUCUUGUAGCUUACUCGCUUAUGUUAUUUUACCUACGCUUAGGAUGUUGACGCAUGAGAUAUACG